rnacentral:rRNA from 1 species
UCGCCUGUUUAUCAAAAACAUCACCUCUAGCAUCACUCGCCUGUGUUAUCAAAAACAUGUCUUCUUGAAUAAAAAUUUGAGGUCUGACCUGCCCACUGAGAUUAAACUUAAAGGGCCGCGGUAUUUUGACCGUGCAAAGGUAGCAUAAUCAUUAGUCUUUUAAUUGAAGGCUAGAAUGAAUGGUUGGACGAGGUAUUGACUGUCUCUGUGCAAGUGAAAUUAGAAUUUAACUUUUGAGUGAAAAGGCUUAAAUGAUCUUAGAGGACGAGAAGACCCCAUAGAGCUUUAUAAUAAGUUUUUUAUAAUUUGUUUAGAAAAUUUUUUAUUAUAUUAAAUUAAUUAUUUUGUUGGGGUGACAGGAAGAAUAAAUAAACUCUUUUUAUUAAUUGAACAUUAAUGUAUGAAUUGUUGAUCCAUUUUUAGUGAUUAUAAGUCUAAGUUACCUUGGGGAUAACAGCGUAAUCUUUUUCGAGAGUUCUUAUCGACAAAAAGGGUUGCGACCUCGAUGUUGGACUAAGGGUAAUUUUGGGUGUAGAUGUUCAAAGUUUAGGUCUGUUCGACCUUUAAAUCCUUACAUGAUCUGAGUUCAAACCGGAGAGUCCUACGUGAUCUGAGUUCAAACCGGAGA